CCGAGUUUACAACUCCCAAACCCGUGUGAACCCGUACCUCCAGUUGCUUCGGCGGGACCGCCCCGGGGCGCCCAGCGCGCCCCGGACACAGGCGCCCGCCGGGGGAUCGUAACUCCUGUAUCUUUGCAGCGGUAUCAUCUGAGUGGAUUAUCCAAUAAUCA
rnacentral:misc_RNA from 1 species